rnacentral:lncRNA from 1 species
AAUGUGUCUGUUCUUAUGCAAAUAAUAUGCUGCUUUGCAAUCCAGGAGCUUUUGUGUAACCUAAUAUCUAGAGAACACUCUAAUAGAAUUCUUUUUUAUUAGUUCUUCAAAACAUUACAUAGCUCUUGACAUAUCAUAUUUCAUACAUUUGAUUCAAGUGGGUUAUGAACUCCCAUUUUUCCCCCCGUAUACAGAUUGCAGAAUCACAUUGGUUACACAUCCACGUUUUUAGGUACUAGUGUCUGUUGUAGUCUGCUGUCUUUCCUAUCCUCUACAUCCCCCCUCCCCUCCCCUCCCCUCCCAUCUUCUCUCUCUACCCCAUCUACUGUACUUCAUUUCUUUCCCUUGUAUCCCCCCCUUUCCCUUCAACUCCUCUUAUAUGUAAUUUUGUAUAAUGAUGAGAGUCUCCUUCCAUUUCCAUGCAAUUUCCCCUCUCUCUCCCAUUCCCUCCCACCUCUCAUCCCUGUUUAAUGUUAAUCUUCUUUUCAUGCUCUUCCUCCCUGCGCUGUAUGCUCAUGAAUUAAUAUCAGUUUUUAGUAUUACCUACCUGUGUGAAAAGACAAUUGCAAAGAUUAAAUAUGCACAAGUUCUUUGUGGAUCAUCAUUAAAACAUGAAUAUGAACAAUUGGCUUUGAGAGGUAGCAAUAACUUUGAACUCAAAUAAAUAAAAUGUCUCAAAGGAAAAAUAAUGUAAUUCUGAUUGGCAGGCUUUUAUUGCAAAAAUUUUUACUCAAUUGUUGUUAUAGUUUAUUCUUGUCAAAAAACUAAUUAGGGAGGAAUCAUAUCUGCCACGUGUCAC